rnacentral:rRNA from 1 species
UACGAAGGGGGCGAGCGUUUGUUCGGAAUUACUGGGCGUAAAGGGCGCGCAGGCGGCUCUGAAAGUCAGAUGUGAAAGCCCCGGGCUUAACCUGGGAAUUGCAUUUGAUACUCUGGAGCUUGAGUACGGGAGAGGAGAGUGGAAUUCCCAGUGUAGAGGUGAAAUUCGUAGAUAUUGGGAAGAACACCGGUGGCGAAGGCGGCUCUCUGGCUCGGUACUGACGCUGAGGUGCGAAAGCGUGGGGAGCAAACAGGG